AUGGAAAUGAUGAAUAUUUCCCCAGAUGAUCGAUGCUGAAAUUACCGAGCUAUUUUAUUCUCAUUUAUGAGAAUUCAAGCCAGAAUUCUGAUCCAU
rfam:Beta vulgaris subsp. vulgaris Bvchr5.sca022.con0085.1, whole genome shotgun sequence.